GGCCAGUUAGUUUGCAGAAAUUUUUACUUUGAAAGUAAAAGAAGGGGAGGGGAAUCCCCACUGGCCU
rnacentral:tRNA from 1 species